rnacentral:rRNA from 1 species
CGAGUCUUAAUUGGGCGUUAAGUUGCAGGGUAUAGACCCGAAACCCGGUGAUCUAGCCAUGGGCAGGUUGAAGGUUGGGUAACACUAACUGGAGGACCGAACCGACUAAUGUUGAAAAAUUAGCGGAUGACCUGUGGCUGGGGGUGAAAGGCCAAUCAAACCGGGAGAUAGCUGGUUCUCCCCGAAAGCUAUUUAGGUAGCGCCUCGUGAAUUCAUCUCCGGGGGUAGAGCACUGUUUCGGCUAGGGGGCCAUCCCGGCUUACCAACCCGAUGCAAACUGCGAAUACCGGAGAAUGUUAUCACGGGAGACACACGGCGGGUGCUAACGUCCGUCGUGAAGAGGGAAACAACCCAGACCGCCAGCUAAGGUCCCAAAGUCAUGGUUAAGUGGGAAACGAUGUGGGAAGGCCCAGACAGCCAGGAUGUUGGCUUAGAAGCAGCCAUCAUUUAAAGAAAGCGUAAUAGCUCACUGGUCGAGUCGGCCUGCGCGGAAGAUGUAACGGGGCUAAACCAUGCACCGAAGCUGCGGCAGCGAACGUAUCACCCAAGACAACUUUACGGAGUUGACGAUUGACGGAGCGAAGCGACGUCAAAGCGUUCAUUAAAGUCGAGUUGGCUUAGGGAUACGUUCGUUGGGUAGGGGAGCGUUCUGUAAGCCUGUGAAGGUGUGUCGUGAGGCAUGCUGGAGGUAUCAGAAGUGCGAAUGCUGACAUAAGUAACGAUAAAGCGGGUGAAAAGCCCGCUCGCCGGAAGACCAAGGGUUCCUGUCCAACGUUAAUCGGGGCAGGGUGAGUCGACCCCUAAGGCGAGGCCGAAAGGCGUAGUCGAUGGGAAACGGGUUAAUAUUCCCGUACUUGGUGUUACUGCGAAGGGGGGACGGAGAAGGCUAUGUUGGCCGGGCGACGGUUGUCCCGGUUUAAGCGUGUAGGUGUGUGUUCCAGGUAAAUCCGGUUCACUUUAACACUGAGGCGUGACGACGAGGCACUACGGUGCUGAAGCAACAAAUGCCCUGCUUCCAGGAAAAGCCUCUAAGCAUCAGGUAACAUCAAAUCGUACCCCAAACCGACACAGGUGGUCAGGUAGAGAAUACCAAGGCGCUUGAGAGAACUCGGGUGAAGGAACUAGGCAAAAUGGUGCCGUAACUUCGGGAGAAGGCACGCUGACACGUAGGUGAAGUGAUUUACUCAUGGAGCUGAAGUCAGUCGAAGAUACCAGCUGGCUGCAACUGUUUAUUAAAAACACAGCACUGUGCAAACACGAAAGUGGACGUAUACGGUGUGACGCCUGCCCGGUGCCGGAAGGUUAAUUGAUGGGGUCAGCGCAAGCGAAGCUCCUGAUCGAAGCCCCGGUAAACGGCGGCCGUAACUAUAACGGUCCUAAGGUAGCGAAAUUCCUUGUCGGGUAAGUUCCGACCUGCACGAAUGGCGUAAUGAUGGCCAGGCUGUCUCCACCCGAGACUCAGUGAAAUUGAACUCGCUGUGAAGAUGCAGUGUACCCGCGGCAAGACGGAAAGACCCCGUGAACCUUUACUAUAGCUUGACACUGAACAUUGAGCCUUGAUGUGUAGGAUAGGUGGGAGGCUUUGAAGUGUGGACGCCAGUCUGCAUGGAGCCGACCUUGAAAUACCACCCUUUAAUGUUUGAUGUUCUAACGUGGACCCGUAAUCCGGGUUGCGGACAGUGUCUGGUGGGUAGUUUGACUGGGGCGGUCUCCUCCUAAAGAGUAACGGAGGAGCACGAAGGUUGGCUAAUCCUGGUCGGACAUCAGGAGGUUAGUGCAAUGGCAUAAGCCAGCUUGACUGCGAGCGUGACGGCGCGAGCAGGUGCGAAAGCAGGUCAUAGUGAUCCGGUGGUUCUGAAUGGAAGGGCCAUCGCUCAACGGAUAAAAGGUACUCCGGGGAUAACAGGCUGAUACCGCCCAAGAGUUCAUAUCGACGGCGGUGUUUGGCACCUCGAUGUCGGCUCAUCACAUCCUGGGGCUGAAGUAGGUCCCAAGGGUAUGGCUGUUCGCCAUUUAAAGUGGUACGCGAGCUGGGUUUAGAACGUCGUGAGACAGUUCGGUCCCUAUCUGCCGUGGGCGCUGGAGAACUGAGGGGGGCUGCUCCUAGUACGAGAGGACCGGAGUGGACGCAUCACUGGUGUUCGGGUUGUCAUGCCAAUGGCACUGCCCGGUAGCUAAAUGCGGAAGAGAUAAGUGCUGAAAGCAUCUAAGCACGAAACUUGCCCCGAG